rnacentral:rRNA from 1 species
CCUACGGGAGGCAGCAGUGAGGAAUAUUGGUCAAUGGACGAGAGUCUGAACCAGCCAAGUAGCGUGAAGGAUGACUGCCCUAUGGGUUGUAAACUUCUUUUAUAAAGGAAUAAAACGAGGCACGUGUGCCUCUUUGCAUGUACUUUAUGAAUAAGGAUCGGCUAACUCCGUGCCAGCAGCCGCGGUAAUACGGAGGAUCCGAGCGUUAUCCGGAUUUAUUGGGUUUAAAGGGAGCGUAGAUGGGUUGUUAAGUCAGUUGUGAAAGUUUGCGGCUCAACCGUAAAAUUGCAAUUGAUACUGGCAGUCUUGAGUACAGUUGAGGUAGGCGGAAUUCGUGGUGUAGCGGUGAAAUGCUUAGAUAUCGCGAAGAACCCCGAUUGCGAAGGCAGCUUACUAAACUGUGACUGACAUUGAUGCUCGAAGGUGUGGGUAUCAAACAGGAUUAGAUACCCGGGUAGUC